rnacentral:rRNA from 1 species
ACGGAGGGUGCAAGCGUUAUCCGGAUUCACUGGGUUUAAAGGGUGCGUAGGUGGGUCUGUAAGUCCGUGGUGAAAUCUCCGAGCUUAACUUGGAAACUGCCAUGGAUACUAUAGGUCUUGAAUACUGUGGAGGUUAGCGGAAUAUGUCAUGUAGCGGUGAAAUGCUUAGAUAUGACAUAGAACACCAAUUGCGAAGGCAGCUGGCUACACAAAUAUUGACACUGAGGCACGAAAGCGUGGGGAUCAAACAGGA